rnacentral:lncRNA from 12 species
AGGCAGUGUUUGUUAAAAAAAAAAAAAAGAAAGAAAAUUAAAAAGCCCAAGAGACAACCAACCAUACAGCAAAAUGAAAACUGCACACGUGUUUACUUGUUCUGCUCCAUUGUGUUCAUUCUUUUCCUUCAUCAUUUCAACAUAAAUUCCUAGGGAAGCAAACUCUAUCUCUCCUUUCUCAAUUCCACUGCCUGGUCCCAUGCUGUAUGCACGAUUGGAAUCUAUUGAUUUAUGAACCUUUCACCAAAUCCUAGAAUACCACUUGUUUCCAGUUCCUUGCUCUCCAACACCAACCUCUUAAGAUUGGGGAAGCAGUUAUAAAUGAGGCUUCGUAACAACCUAAAAAUAGCUUCACAACAUCCACGAAGAGACUCUUGAUUGGUCACCACAUUUCCUGCCCCCUUCCACGGUGCAGAAAUGACUGCAUCCAAAAGCCCUGUGGUGAAAGGCUGUAGAUGUGAUGGAGUCCACUGUAUUGUUUAGCACACGUCCCGCUCCAACUGCAAAACAUCUCCAAAUGUUCAGGUAACCCGUCGCUGUCUCGGAACGGGGUGUAUCAUCAAGUAGACUUCACUGUCGUUAUUCUUCCUAGAGAGCCUCCCUCCAAACAUUCAGUGUCUUCACCUUGCAAGAUGGUCCCGGCCUUAGCUAUUUGCAAACACUGGAAAAUAAAAACAGCUGCUUCCUCUGUUGAUUAAUUCUCCGGGGCAUUGCGUUCUGGGGCUACGUCCCCAAAAAUAAAAAUAGAAGCACCACCAAAAACAUGUUAGGUGGUCAAAUAAACUUUGGAGAUGUUGCACAUUCAAAAACCUUCUUGGAAAGUCACUGUGUUCGUUGGCAUGUUUAAAAUUCACGAUAGACCUGCUCUCAAGGGGCCUUUUAAUUUAAUUUAGCGUAAUUCUUCCCUUUAUGGAACGUGUUAACGUCACACGAGGUGACGGUGAAGAAUCACUGUUAGUUUUGGUGAGUGUAGCAACGUCUGGAGCAGGUGCCACGAUGAGCCACACGCUCAGCCGUCGGCGUGGAAGGCCACCCGGCUCCUGGGAGCCCUGCCGGCCCACGGCACCUGCGCCGGGCCCUCCGCAGACCCGGCCUUCGAGCGGCUUCAGGCUGGAGAGAGACACGGUCACCAAGGGUCAGGAGCAAAUGGGUUACCCCAGAACCUUCCGGGCACCUCGUUUUCUCAGAGCAGCCCCGCCUUCGAGAGCACCUUCGGGCCAAGAGCGGCGCAGUGUGUCCCCAGUCCAGAUUGCUCCCUGAUUGUGGGGCCCUCGGUGACCCAGCGCCUUCGUACUUCUUGAACCUGCGCUUCACCUUCCAGCCCCAGCCCCGCUGGCUUCAUUCCACACGCCAAUCACGUCGCCUCCCUGCUGGGCACUUUGCCCUUAUGUCCCCUUUCCCUGAACCAUCCCCCACCCCCACCUCCCCGUCCCUGGUCCCAGUGGCGGGUGUGGUUGGCUCCUUCCUGUCAUUUACAUCUCGGCUGAAUGUCACCUCCUCGGAUGAACCUUCCCUGACUACUCAGGCUGGAGUGGCUGUCUCGUCCCUGUCUAGCUCACCACCCCAUGUUUUAAUAGGCAUAUUUUUAAAGAUUUUAUUUAUUUAUUGGAGGGAAGAGAGCAAGAGCAUGAACUGGGGCGGGGAGGGGGGGG